UACGUAGGGUGCAAGCGUUAAUCGGAAUUACUGGGCGUAAAGCGUGCGCAGGCGGUGGUGUAAGACAGGUUGUGAAAUCCCCGGGCUCAACCUGGGAACUGCAUCUGUGACUGCAUCGCUGGAGUACGGUAGAGGGGGAUGGAAUUCCGCGUGUAGCAGUGAAAUGCGUAGAUAUGCGGAGGAACACCGAUGGCGAAGGCAAUCCCCUGGACCUGUACUGACGCUCAUGCACGAAAGCGUGGGGAGCAAACAGG
rnacentral:rRNA from 1 species